UCCUUCAUCCUAUGCAGAAAAUAAAGAUUCUCAACGUUUGAUUGAUUCUAGGAAUGCUGGAAAUUGUGCAUAAAAACUGAUGUAUACAUGUAUCUGAUAGCAUGCCAAAGGUCAUUAUGUAGGUCGAGAAAUGAAAAAUGAAGGACCCUAUAGGGUGGUCCUCCUAAUUGAGGUUUUAGUUUGCUUUGCCCUUACCAUGUAGCUCAUGACUGCAUGUUUCUAAGUUAUGCUUAAGAGUUAAUUUACGGUGCAAAUGGAGCAUGUUGACAGGGCAUCCCUCGGCAUCAACCAUUGAGUUCCACACAUUUUAUUUCACAGAACUGUUUGCAUUGGCUGAUUAAAGUAACCGUAUCAGUUUAGAAAUGCUAAAUGCAAGAACAAGCUCUUCUUCUAGUGGUGUGGCUGUGAGUGAAUUAAUAAACAGGGAAGAAGCAAAAGCAUUGUGAAUUAUUUGGAUCGAUCUAGAAAAUUGCAAUUCGAAUUUUAUUGACUAUGGAUCCUUGUUCAUUUGGUUUGAAUCCAGAAUAUACCUACUCCAAGGCUAAUAAUAGAUUAUCCCAGAGAAUGCAUCUUGAUGUUUGUAGAGUUGGUAAAGCCAUCUGUCAUAUACUUGAACUUUUGAGCUAAGCAAGACAUUACUACAAUGUCCUUUGACAUAAUCGUAUGUACUGUAAAAUAAAUUCCUUAUAUUGUGCAUAAGCUCUUGUUAGUUCAUUUACUUGCUUAAAAGUAAAAGACAGGAGGCAUCUGUAUAAGUUUCCUGAGGAAACUUUUCGAUAUCCUAUACGCCAUUUGAAAACUGCCUUGCAUUAAUUCUAAUGCAUGAAUAUCAUGUAAUGAUAAGGAAAAGAAUCAUACUAUGUCCCACAAAAGCAAGCAACUUGAGUUGAAUUCACUAUGUUAAUUUGAUCAAAGCUUCUGUGGGUGAUGAUGUUAGCCCCAUUAGUUGGAUCCAAAGAGCUCAAAAGGAAUAUUGAGUUUGACAAAUAGAGAUUUGUAAACUUUAGAGUAUUAUUACUAGUUCGUUGAUGUUAGUUGCUAGAUUGAUUUCAUCUGACUCAUUGGCAGGAUUUGGUUAUUUUUUCACUGGUUGAUGAAAAUGCUGAAAUAUCUGAGAGAGCUUUCGCAAGGCACUUCUAAAAUAAAUCGAAAUCAUAGAAGGAUUAGGAGCUCAAUGCAUACUUGGAAUGGUAAAAGGUUGUUUGCAUGUUGUCAUCCCACAUUGCCCUGCUUAUGUUUAACAGAAGCUUUGCAGAGCUGAAAAUGUCCGCCUCCACUCCUGUGAUCAAGUCUCUCUAUCUUCCUUAUUUUCUCUCCCACAUGUUACUCUAGGAUUCAAGUGGACUUUCCUCAUCCUCUCACUCUUCAACUGGCUCGAGCGUUCCUCUAGCUAUGGAGACCAGCGAAGGACCACAGUGUGUCAUCCUCCUGUUUCAGCUUCAGUUCGAUAAAUCACUGGCUUCUCAGGUGAAGACGAAUGGAGUGGAAUCCAAAGAAGAAUUGGCUAGCGAUGGUCAAGAAGGACUCGAAGGCAAUGUCAAUUGGCAGAGGUUGUGGACAGUCUCUCCUUGUAAUUGCUUCAAAGAGAGAAGGUUGGUCAGCUUAGUAUUCCUUGGAUACUGCGAAAUAUGGUCAGCUUGGUAUUUGCUUUCAUGUACUCUAGCAGCUAUUUUGGUAGGCCUUCACUGGGUUGUGCGAUACAUUUGUAGGCGAGAGAAUUCUAAUACCAUGGUGUAAUGGAACUUGGUCGUGCUUUAAAUGUUAGAAUGAUAUGUUGUCAAGCCUAGUAUUGUUUUCAUGCGUUCUAGCAGCGUGUCCACAGUAGUUGCUAAACUGAUGAUGUGCAAUGGUAAAUGACUCCUGGUUUGUAGGUUAGUUCUUCAUUUCAGAUCAUCUUGCUACAGUCCUCAUAAAUACUUUGAGCACUUCAACACUUCAACUAGAUAAGAUUGACUCAAGUUAGGGUGGUUUGCUGGUCGUCAACCCUGGUUUUUGUUGGUCCAACAUUAUUUCAAUUAUCCAGAUGGUCAGCAAGACGUCUUACACGCAUUAUUGUGCCAGAGAAUACUGCAACUUGGAGGUUUUGGGGACAGUGAAUAUUUGCGAAGGACACUUGCAGAGGAAUUUCAACAGAUGAAAUAGAGGUAUUAACAAAAGAAUUAGAAAUGUGAGAUGCAAUAGAAUCUUGUUCUUGCAUAGAAGUUCGUAUCUGAAUGUGUCGUUUAUUGCUCUUUCAUUGUAGAUUCUUCUCAUUAAUGCUAUAUCUAGUUUGCCAUGCAUAAGUGUUCUUACCCAUGCCACCUCUGUGGGAGAAAUAUGAAUUAUGAGACAAAACGUUGCUGGUAUCUACUGUUUGAAGUGAUUCAUUUUUCCCCCUUUCAAGUUUGGUCCUCAUGGCUGAUGUGUGUACCGAAUGUGAAAUUCUUGAUCUCAUUGUAUGCAUAAUGGGAGUUUGAGUAUGAUUGCCCGGAUUCAAAAUUGGACUGUGUGAACAUUGCCAGUCUUUGGUUUUUGGUGUUAUCCAAAAGGGAAAAGGGAAAAAGUAGCAUAUCGUGCUUUUCUGUCGACUCUUGUUCAUGUCAGAGUUUUAAGAAGUGGCUCUGGUUGAACUGGGAACCAGACCAGUCCAGUCUGGUUUCCUAGCAAAAAUAGUAUUGAUCAAGAACUAGUGGUAUUGACCCUGUUCAACUGGUAACCAGGUGUACUUGUCAACUGAUACCUAGCAAACCUGUCAACUAGUCUGGACCAACUCUGGGCCGUAAAAAAGUUUAAAGGAGUAACAUUGGAAUUGGGUUGGGGUUUGGCACUCCAACCACUUGUAACUAACAAGUGUGCCAACCAUUUGCUCUAGUGUCUUCUUGCUACAAUCGUGGUGGAUAAUUUAUUUAUUGACCAUAUUGGCCUAAUCUAAAAUUGAACAGGAUGCUAUUAAGAUGACAUCAAGCAUGUGUAAUCUAUUAAGAUGCUAUAAUGUCUGCCGACUCACUGGACUUCUUUUGUUCUAAAAGUGUGUAAUCUAAUAUAUGCAAAGUAUUCUAUCAUAUUACAUCACAUGCAAUUGGUUCAGUCGGUCGAACUGGAAGAGCACGGUUCUACCACUUUGAUUGGUUGAACCACUGGUCUGGUUUUAAAACAUUUGUUCUUUUAUUGUUCCUAUUUAUUAUUUAUCUGCUAUUCUCAUCAACACGAUUAGCAGCAGCUUAGUUUUUCCUCCUAUGUGCAUGAUGCAUACACAUGUCAUUACAUGCUUGCGAUUUCAAAGGAUGUUUUACUUUCUACCUUACUAUAACUGCAAAAAGUUCCUACAUGCCUUGACAGCUGGAGCCUUGUAUGUAGGUUAAGAAACGUGUCUUUGAUGGCCCUAAUGGUUUAGUAGUGCCCUUUUUGCUUGUAUUUUGUUAGGAUAUUUUUGCUGGGUUGUAUUAUUCUCACUUCCGAAACACUAAUCCCGUGAAAUUGCACAUCUAGGACCAUAUCUUACGCCUGGAGAUGGAGAAUGAGAAGCUUCACAACAUUCCCCGUCCUGUAGUUCUCCCUUGUCAGUUGGUGGUAAGAACAUUUUGACACUGUCAUACCAUCAAGCUAAGGAUCAAUUCAUUGCUAUGCCAUCAAUUGUAUAGUUCUAAAGGUUUUUUCUUUGGGCUUCUUGCCAUGUCCAUUUGCAGUUUUGGAUGUCUGGAAACUUAUUGUUGCCCAUACUCUUUCCUUAGUGAUCAAUGUUUGAUAAACUUGCUAGUGUCGGUAACAAAUUUAUCUUGUUGGCUGGGAAUUGGAAUUGAAUUAAUCCUGUCCAUGCUCCUUACUACAUUUCCACUUAGAACCUUCUAUUUAGUUCAAAUGUGACUGGCAUAGGUACACUGUGCCUCUUUAACAGACCACUUCAUGUUUGUCCCUAUAGAUUGAAGAAGUGCAAAAAUAUGCUCCAAAGAAGAAUAUUUUUUAGUCGAAGAAGUAAAAAAAAUGAAGUAUUAGUUUUCCCCUAAAUUUUAAAUCAAUUGAGAGGACAAAGUGCAAAAUGAUUUAAUAGUCACCAGACAAAUACAAAAUGAAUAAUCAUUCUCUCAUGGUAGGUGCAUAGCAGUCUUGAGUUACUGACUGAGAACCACUAUUUACAAGUUCAUGACCAUAGAUACUAUCAUGGCAUCUAGUGUAGCAAGAUACUGUGGAGCAUUCAUAGUUACAUGCAUGUUGUAGCCUCUUUAGGCAAUUAAGGUUUGCUUCCUGCCUGUGUUUUAGCGUAAUGCAUGCGUUGUAAUUUUACUUUUACCCAACAAAGGUAUCUAAACAUCAUGUUAGUUAUGGCCAUACAUUCAAGGAACACUGGACUGAAAUCAAGUUGAUCUUUUUUUUGGCAAUGGGAGGUAGAGGUGUGGCUUGUGUUUUAGCUGCAAGAAAGUGGGCCUUGAUCUACAUACUGGACGAGUAUGAAGAAGAAAUCUCUGAUUCAAAAUGACUGUCUGUUCAAGAGUUUGUGGUGGUUAUGCUUAUGUUGCUGCUGCGGGUGGACCUCUCAUACUUGGAGUUGCAGACAUUGGUGUGAGAAGCAAUGCAUGUGGGCUUUCUAACUGAUGCUCUUCAAUUUCACCCUUUUUGGAGAAGUCUUAAUCCAUACCUGCCAUGUGCCUUUUCUGCUAGGCAGGUAUUUGUCGAUAAAAAAAAGUGGAGUAAAAUGUAGCGAUUUAUCUAUCGAGUGGGAUAGAAUUGACCGAAAGAUGCUGAAUCAUGGCUUCUAUCUGAUGGUAAUUGUUGUAAUGGUAUUGCUGUAAGCUUUGAGACCUGCUCGAUAGUGCCAAGCUUUUGCUUCAUCUGUAUAUGUUCACUAUUUUCAUGUGUAAGAGAACCAAUUGUUUGGUUUGGAUUAUCUACA